ensembl:lncRNA
AAAAUUCCAAGAAGUUAAUACUUUUGUCAAAUUCUUUUUUUACAGCUCUGACUCGUGAGGUAUCUAUCCACUCUACCAGAAGCGGAAAGAGUAACCUGCAGAAAAUAGGCUAUGACAGCUUGAUUACUGAUUUUUUAAAAAGGAAGAAGAAAAUAAUGAAGAGGCAAAUCUGCUGCGGAAGUGCACCUCAGAUCUGGAGCUGUGCUGCAGACAUCGACCAGCAUCGUUUCCCCAACCCAACCCCUUCCUCUCAUGUAAAGAACUGAAAUGCAGCAUCCCAUCAACAUUGUGGUUGCAGAGAAAGCCCAGUGCCGGCAGCAACGGACGGUCUGGUGUCCUCGGGCUGAGACGUGCCUGUGCCACACAGAGGGACGGGACACCCCGGCUUGUGGUGCCCCAGGCCAUCGCCAGCCAAAGAGGCCACAACACAGACCUUCAAGGCUGCAUACAUAGCCCAUAAUUGAUAAGGAAAGAGACUGGACUUCUGCAAACCAGGAAACUUGCUGGUG